rnacentral:rRNA from 1 species
CUACCCUGUGGACGGGAAUACUCUCGGGAAACUGAGGCUAAUCCCCGAUAACGCUUUGCUCCUGGAAGGGGCAAAGCCGGAAACGCUCCGGCGCCACAGGAUGCGGCUGCGGUCGAUUAGGUAGACGGUGGGGUAACGGCCCACCGUGCCCAUAAUCGGUACGGGUUGUGAGAGCAAGAGCCCGGAGACGGAAUCUGAGACAAGAUUCCGGGCCCUACGGGGCGCAGCAGGCGCGAAACCUUUACACUGUACGAAAGUGCGAUAAGGGGACUCCGAGUGUGAAGGCAUAGAGCCUUCACUUUUGUACACCGUAAGGUGGUGCACGAAUAAGGACUGGGCAAGACCGGUGCCAGCCGCCGCGGUAAUACCGGCAGUCCGAGUGAUGGCCGAUCUUAUUGGGCCUAAAGCGUCCGUAGCUGGCUGAACAAGUCCGUUGGGAAAUCUGUCCGCUUAACGGGCAGGCGUCCAGCGGAAACUGUUCAGCUUGGGACCGGAAGACCUGAGGGGUACGUCUGGGGUAGGAGUGAAAUCCUGUAAUCCUGGACGGACCGCCGGUGGCGAAAGCGCCUCAGGAGAACGGAUCCGACAGUGAGGGACGAAAGCUAGGGUCUCGAACCGGAUUAGAUACCCGGGUAGUCCUAGCUGUAAACGAUGUCCGCUAGGUGUGGCGCAGGCUACGAGCCUGCGCUGU